AUCAGCUUUGCCUGGUGCCAAAAGGGGUGAUGAAAGCAGUGGCACUGCAGCACUUGGGUUUGGUCCAGCUGGGGGCUGAGUUGUUUCCAGGAAAGACCUUCCAGUUCCUGGCAGAGGGACACCAUGAGAGCUGGCAUGAUUUCAUGUGCCACCACAGACAUGGACCCUCAGGACCCUGAGUGUGACAAGAGUUGCGUGCAAAUCCCAAUC